CCUACGGGAGGCAGCAGUGGGGGAUAUUGCACAAUGGGGGGAACCCUGAUGCAGCGACGCCGCGUGGGUGAAGGAGGGUUUCGGCGCGUAAAGCCCUAUCGGCAGGGAAGAAGAUGACGGUACCUGGGCAAGAAGCCACGGCUAACGACGUGACAGCAGCCGCGGUAAUACGUAGGGGGCAAGCGUUACCCGGAAUGACUGGGGGUAAAGGGGGCGCAGACGGCACUGCAAGCCAGGAGUGACAGCCCGGGGCCCCACCCCGGGACUGCUCUUGGAACUGCCUGGCUGGAGUACAGGAGGGGCAGGCGGAAUUCCUAGUGUCGCGGUGAACUGCGUAGAUAUUAGGAGG
rnacentral:rRNA from 1 species